AUUGAACGCUGGCGGCAUGCCUUACACAUGCAAGUCGAACGGUAACAGGUCUUCGGAUGCUGACGAGUGGCGAACGGGUGAGUAAUACAUCGGAACGUGCCUAGUAGUGGGGGAUAACUACUCGAAAGAGUGGCUAAUACCGCAUGAGAUCUACGGAUGAAAGCAGGGGAUCGCAAGACCUUGUGCUACUAGAGCGGCCGAUGGCAGAUUAGGUAGUUGGUGGGAUAAAAGCUUACCAAGCCGACGAUCUGUAGCUGGGCUGAGAGGACGAUCAGCCACACUGGGACUGAGACACGGCCCAGACUCCUACGGGAGGCAGCAGUGGGGAAUUUUGGACAAUGGGCGCAAGCCUGAUCCAGCAAUGCCGCGUGCAGGAUGAAGGCCUUCGGGUUGUAAACUGCUUUUGUACGGGAAGAAACGAGUUUCUCUAAUACAGAGACUUAAUGACGGUACCUGAAGAAUAAGCACCGGCUAACUACGUGCCAGCAGCCGCAGUAAAAC
rnacentral:rRNA from 1 species